CAUAUUACCAUACAUGCUGUAAAUUGGCUGUUUUAAAUCUGUAGUGUGUAGUUUAUUUCGCCUCAUGUGGAAUUCUAAGUAAUAACAACAAAACUGUC